rnacentral:tmRNA from 1 species
GGGGACGAUUCAGUUUCGAUUGGGCGAGUUGGGUAGAAUAUAAGCAUACCGAAGGUUCGACUUCGUUAAAACGAAAACUUAAAUUUAAAUGCUAACAAUCAACAAGUAGCAUUCGCCGCUUAAUUUAGGCGAACGUCCUACCUUUCUUCGCCCGUUGGGAAAGGAUAGGGCGUCAGUUAGACGGGGAACUGUUUUAUAGAUGUGGACGUGUUUAUAAAGUGGAAUUUAACGUUUAUGGAAUAGAUAAAGGUUGCCGAUAGCCGUGUUUAUUUCGAGAAUAAUUAUUGGAUAAGUAUGUAGAAGGUUUUAUUUUACCGUUCAAGACUGGGGUGCAAAUCCCCACGUCUCCACCA